UUGGAUUAAAAAAAAAAAAAAGUAAAGAAAAUCAAAGAGGCCGUUGUUCUGUCUCAAUGCACUUGGCUUGCCCUUUUAAGCAGUUCCAAGAACUCAUGUUAGAUGGACAAUGCAUCUCUGUGGGACUUCCUAAUGUCUGAUAAUAUAUGAUAAUGAGGGUGCCAUCAGCCCUCUUAAUUUUUCUCCUCAAGAGAGGUACAAAUUGGAAAAGAUAAGUCUGUUAUUUUAGAGUAGAUUUCUUGGUUGCCUCACGAUGGAGGGCAUUGAGACGGUUAAGCUUAUAAAACCAAGCAUUUAGUCAUUUAGAUGUUAUGUGCAAAUCUAUCCUACUAACUUUCAACAGAAAUUCAACCAAAUAAAGCUUUCCUUUAUUUUAUUUCAAUGUUUGGCAGGUCAUGUGCCCCACAUGUCUUUGCACUGGAAUGGCUAUGGCU
rnacentral:misc_RNA from 1 species